rnacentral:rRNA from 1 species
CAGCCGCCGCGGUAAAACGUAGGUGGCAAGCGUUGUCCGGAAUUAUUGGGCGUAAAGGGCUCGCAGGCGGUUUCUUAAGUCUGAUGUGAAAGCCCCCGGCUCAACCGGGGAGGGUCAUUGGAAACUGGGAAACUUGAGUGCAGAAGAGGAGAGUGGAAUCCUACGUGUAGCGGUGAAAUGCGUAGAGAUGUGGAGGAACACCAGUGGCGAAGGCGACUCUCUGGUCUGUAACUGACGCUGAGGAGCGAAAGCGUGGGGAGCGAACAGGAUUAGAUACCCGCGUAGUCCCUGUCUCUUAUAC